CCUACGGGGGGCAGCAGUGAGGAAUAUUGGUCAAUGGACGAGAGUCUGAACCAGCCAAGUAGCGUGAAGGAUGACUGCCCUAUGGGUUGUAAACUUCUUUUAUAUGGGAAUAAAAUGUUCCACGUGUGGGUUUUUGUAUGUACCAUAUGAAUAAGGAUCGGCUAACUCCGUGCCAGCAGCCGCGGUAAUACGGUGGAUCCGAGCGUUAUCCGGAUUUAUUGGGUUUAAGGGGAGCGUAGGUGGAUUGUUAAGUCAGUUGUGAAAGUUUGCGGCUCAACCGUAAAAUUGCAGUUGAAACUGGCAGUCUUGAGUACAGUAGAGGUGGGCGGAAUUCGUGGUGUAGCGGUGAAAUGCUUAGAUAUCACGAAGAACUCCGAUUGCGAAGGCAGCUCACUGGACUGCAACUGACACUGAGGCUCGAAAGUGUGGGUAUCAAACAGGAUUAGAUACCCCUGUAGUC
rnacentral:rRNA from 1 species